CCCAGCGGCAAGGCAGCAGGCAUCCGACGGAUCCGCUUGGGUCGCAUGCCUCAGCUUGGACGGCUUGGUUAGCGCGGCGUGGCACGGGCAGCUGGCGCCGCCGGUGCGGCCAGCUGGUGGAGCAGAGUAGGUGGGCGGCGGCCGACGGCCACGACGAGCGCAGGUGCAAGCUACUCCAUCAUCGCUGAUUUUUCUCCCCCGCCAAAAGAUUAGCCGCAGCAGAUCGAGCAGCGUCGUCGACGGGUGAAGGCGAUGCAUACAACGCCCGUCGACCCGUCGCGUGGUUAUCGGAGCACAAGCUCCAGCCGUCGUCUCUCUCCUCCCUCUUCAUUAAUCACUAUCCACGUCAGCUUGAUUCCUCUCGAUUUGUUUACGUGUACGUGCCCUGAAUAUAACACGGCGGCGCAUGUGCUGGCCAAAUUUGGUUCCCGUUAGGGCACGUAUAUUAGGUCGUCCAUGUACCUCCACGUCAUCGAGUUUUUCCUACGUGGACAGGAUUAAAUGAGGUGAGAGAGCCUGAUCAGAGCGAAACGCCGCCCCAGCGCCCGUUGUAUGUGGAGUUGUCGCCUCCCCUGAUCUGCUGCGGCCAUCUUCGAUUUGGCGGGUAAAAUCCAUCGAAUCCACCUCUGAGCCACAAGCACCUCGGCGGAGGAACACGAACUUGGGCAUCGACAAAUAACAGGCCGCGCAGCAUCGUCCGCUCGGAUGACUGGCUUGAGGUCGGCCACCUCGCGUCCACUGCUGGCGGUGUAGGAGCAUCUCGUCGGCCUCGUCAGCUUUUUCCCCGGAGGCCAGCUGCAACUGCAGGAUCAAUUGGGUCUUUUUCUUGGUGUGUAUAUCAGUUGGGGUCUUAAUCGAUGACAAUGGGGAUGCGUGGAUCGAUUGAAUAUGCUUUCAGUUCAUUACGCACACAAGGUGUUCGCUGUAUUGCCUGAAAGGUGCUGGAGGGUAUUAGCUAUGGCUCUGGAUGGCAGCUUCAAAUUAUCUCUGCCUGGCAGCAGCAAACUCUCUCUAUCAUAUCUAGUUUAACCGAAUUUGUAUGGUGCUAGCUAAUGCUCUCUGGAAGUCAUAUGUACCUUUGCUCUCUUAUAAUUAGUUAUUCUGACCAGUGUCAUGGUGUAGUUAUUCUCUAUUGUGUCUAGUUUAACUGAAUUUGUAUUAUUGUAUUUAUGAAAUCAUGUUAUGUAUUCCGAGUAUUUAUUAAUAUAAAUAUAUAUUA